CUUCGUCCACCCUCCCGCUAAACCCACUCCACACCACCCACCCACCGCCGCCUGCGCCUAGGGUUCCGCCCCCCAUGACCGUCGGCGAGCCGGAGAUGCCGGCGUCGGCGCGCAGGCGUUUGUUCCUCGCCAGCGUCGACGCGCUCAUCUUCCUCAAUUGCGGGCUGUUGUGGGUACUCUGCGCGGGGUCCCUCGCCUUGGUCUCAUCGCGCGCCUUACCCUGGGUCAGGUCGAGGUUCCCCCCGCGCUCUGGGCGGCGUCCUGGGUCUCCAUUUGCUUCCUUAUGUUGCUCGGCCCCGUUGCCUGGUUCCUCGCCGGCGCGCGCUCCUCGCGCUCCCCGUACACCACCACCGACGCCAACAAGGACUUGAUGGGGAUCCUUGUUCCGGGGGCCUUCAUUCUGCUCGCAAUUGAUUAUGAUAAGGUGGUGGGUCUGCUGGGUGUGGAAGGAUCCCAGAGGGAACGGAUUGGUUCAACAGUGAGGGAUUUGGGGUUAAUGGGUGCUGGUGCAACAUGUUUGGUCACCUUAACAACUAUGAUACUGAGGCAAUGGAGGAUGAAGUAGAGGAUUAUGUGGUUAUGUUGUUGAGACGUAACCCUGAACGGAUGGUAUUAAGAUGGACAAGACAAAUACAAGAGCUGACUUUUUGCUGAAGUUUAUGGCCGCGUAUAAGAGCUCACGUAAUUCGACAUUGUGGCGUUGAAGUUUUUUACCUGCUGCUGCUGGGAAGCCUGGAAUACAUGGCCAGACGGUGAGGGGUAUACCACCCUCCAAGAGGACAAUGCUUUUGUAGGCAUAUAGAAUUUGCCAUGUUGGUAUUGUUAUGUUCGAUGACUACCAUUUCUUCGCAAGAGCACCAUGUGGCAGUUACUGUAGAAUAUUAUGUUUGUAGCGAUCACAGAUGUUAACGAUCUACGGAUUUGCAGGGUAUGAGUAUGUUCAUUUUUUUGUCAUUUGAUAUUUGGUAGGCGGAGCUCAUAUCUUAAGCGAUGGUGAUCAUGAAUCUAUUCCUACAGAUAUGUUUAAGUUGAAGGGUCUACCUGUGUAA